GUGAGGGGGGGGGGGGGGUUGGGGGUCUUGGGGGGCCCCAUUUGGGGUCACAGGAUGGGUUGGGGGGCUCCAUUUGGGGUCUUGGAGUGGGGUGGGGUCUCCAUUUGGGGUCUUGGGAUGGGUUGGGGGGCUCCAUUGGGAUCUUGGAGUGGGGUGGGGGGCUCCAGUGGGGUCUCCAUUUGGGGUCUUGGGAUGGGUUGAGGGCUCCAAUGGGGUCUCCAUUUGGGGUAGGAUCUGCAUUUGGGGUCAUGGGAUGGGUUGGGGGUCUCCCUUUGGGGUCACGGGAUGGGUUGGGGGUCUCCAUUUGGGGUCUUGGAGUGGGUUGGGGGGCUCCAAUGGGGUCUUGGAGUGGGGUGGGGUCUCCAUUUGGGGUCAUGGGAUGGAAUUGGGGUUUCCAUUUGGGGUCAUGGAAUUGGGGUCUCC
ensembl:lncRNA